GAUGUACUCCCUCCGUUCCACAAUACAUGCCUUCCCUCUGUCAAAAUAUAGAUGUAUCUAGACAUGUUUUAGUAUAUAGAUACAUUCACUUUUGGACAAAUGAAAGUCAAGUAUUUUGGAACGGAGGGAGUAAGAG
rfam:Triticum urartu cultivar G1812 contig258037, whole genome shotgun sequence.